rnacentral:lncRNA from 1 species
UUCUGUCUCAACUGGGUGACCACUGUCCAGUUUACCCAAGACUUUCUCAAUUUUAGCACUGAAUUUUUUCUACCCCAGUAACCAUUAUGCAACUAAGGUGACUGGCUGCUUCAACCCUAGCCCACUUCCCUAACGGAAGAUUCUGAACCUUACCACCAAACUCAUCUCACUGUCCACUUUGUGAGAACCUCACCCACCUCAGCCCAUGAGAGGGUCUGACUACAUCACUCAUGAUGGUGAGCUACAGACUGUGUAUUCUUAAAUCUCCAAGCCUUUCUCUGCUUUCUAAGAAUGAAGAGACCCCGAAUGAAGGCAUGGAAAGUUGAAAGUGUCAUUAUGAAAAGACAGGG